rnacentral:rRNA from 1 species
AGGACGAACGCUGGCGGCGCGCUUAACACAUGCAAGUCGAGCGAGAACCAGGGCUUCGGCCCUGGGGAAAGCGGCGAACGGGUGAGUAACACGUGAGUAACCUGUCCUCGGCACCGGGAUAGCCCGGGGAAACCCGGAUUAAUACCGGAUGGCCUUUCGAGCUCUCGGGCUCGUUAGAAAAGGUAGCUUCGGCCUCCGGCCGAGGAGGGACUCGCGGCGGAUUAGCUUGUUGGUGAGGUAACGGCUCACCAAGGCGACGAUCCGUAGCUGGUCUGAGAGGACGAUCAGCCACACUGGGACUGAGACACGGCCCAGACUCCUACGGGAGGCAGCAGUGGGGAAUCUUGCGCAAUGGGCGAAAGCCUGACGCAGCGACGCCGCGUGCGGGAAGAAGGCCUCGGGUUGUAAACCGCUUUCAGGAGGGACGAAGCCACUCGGGUUAAUAGCCCAGAGGGUGACGGUACCUCCAGAAGAAGCCCGGCUAACUACGUGCCAGCAGCCGC